rnacentral:rRNA from 1 species
AUUGAACGCUGGCGGCAUGCUUUACACAUGCAAGUCGAACGGCAGCACGGGCUUCGGCCUGGUGGCGAGUGGCGAACGGGUGAGUAAUGCGUCGGAACGUGCCGAGUAAUGGGGGAUAACGCAUCGAAAGGUGUGCUAAUACCGCAUACGCUCUGAGGAGGAAAGCGGGGGACCUUCGGGCCUCGCGUUAUUCGAGCGGCCGACGUCUGAUUAGCUAGUUGGUGGGGUAAAGGCUCACCAAGGCGACGAUCAGUAGCGGGUCUGAGAGGAUGAUCCGCCACACUGGGACUGAGACACGGCCCAGACUCCUACGGGAGGCAGCAGUGGGGAAUUUUGGACAAUGGGCGAAAGCCUGAUCCAGCCAUGCCGCGUGUGUGAAGAAGGUCUUCGGAUUGUAAAG